GGGAGAGGCUGGCCAGCAACGAAAACUGCUAAUUCUCGCUACUUUGGUUGAACUCCAAAGCUCACUCA
rnacentral:tRNA from 1 species